rnacentral:lncRNA from 1 species
UUUUCCCAUUUAAAGUGGUUGCUGACCGUGAAUAAAUCCCAUGGACCCGUGGACCACUCCCUUCACAUGGACCCUUAGCACCUUUUUUGUGAGCCGCGACUCACCUGGGACGCAUGAAACAGAGCUUCUCUGUUUCACGCGUCCGCAACCCUUCCGACCGUCGAUUGCGCGGCCAACCGGCCUCCGGCCAGACGGCCGACUGGACCGGAAUGUGCGGUUUUGAACCGCCAACAUUCCAGUCCAGUUUGAUUUUUGAAAUCCAGCAAUAAUUGGCAUUAAUCACUG